UAAUGUUGUUUUGUUCCUGACAAGGAAGAUUUUACUUGAAUGCUCUUACACUUUUCAGUUGAUUUUGUCCACAAUUGUGUUCUGAUCGUUCAUGUUGGUAAAAGUGAGGGAUGUUGUUUUGAUCUGAUGGCCACGAGUGGAAUACACAAUGACUUAUGAGUGUGACACCAAGUAGGCAUAUAUAAAGGUUUGGGCAUCAAGAAUUUGGAAUCUUAAGAAAGACCCAUAAUUUUCUGCUUUGAAAGUGUUUUGCCAUUACAAUUGUAAUGAUAUUUUUAGGUUUUUGGAAGUCUUUAGUAGUGGGGCAUGAUGUGGAUCAAUUGUUGGACAAGUAAUAUAUUCUCUGGAUUUUGCCCGAUAGUUUGAAGGAAUAACUUUGGUGGCACAUGUAUUAAAACUAAUGGAUCUAGACACAAUUUUGUGUUUGAUUUUAAUUUUAUAAGCAGUUUCCAGAGACAUGGUCUUGAAAUAGCAGGAAUUUUUAGGAGUUUGCCUUAUUGCAGCUUUUGCUUUUCUUGAACCAGAAUCUGGAAAUUGCAAUGGAGAACAUCAUUUCUCUGCGAUUCAUUUUAAAAAUGAUCUCUAUUGAAAGUUGGAUUCAGAAGAACUGAUUUCUGACAAUGCAAGUAUGGGGAUUUGGGUUUCUAUGCAGUUCUUCCAGCUAUCAAUAUCACUCUUAGCCUCCUUUGUUUCGAAAACUGCCUCAAGUUCAAGCUCGCCGGCAAACUCCUGCUCUCCAGAUGGCUGACAAGCAUACUUGGUCAAACAAAGAAGAGAAAGCAUUGUCGGCUGACAUCGAGGAGUCGUUGCAAAUGGCCAAUGUGAUGGAGUAGCUACUUUUAAGAAUAAAUGAAUGCAGGAAGGUGUUGUAACUUGUUCAUCUUCUUCAAUUCCUCCCAAGGAUAUAUGGUGACUCUUCGAUUAUGGACUUGCUUUAUAAGAUAUAUCCAAGUAUUCACUACGUUCUAAUCGUAGAAGUUAAACUGGACUUA